AAUUUGCAUGAGGGAUUGAAACGGCAUCCCCGAUUUAGAAAAACAAGGCUUUUUUUGCCGUAGUUUUUGUUAAUUGGGAAUACAGUGGAAAGCCCGACCCUUG
rnacentral:sRNA from 1 species